rnacentral:rRNA from 1 species
UACGGAAGGCAGCAGUGGGGAAUAUUGCACAAUGGGCGCAAGCCUGAUGCAGCCAUGCCGCGUGUAUGAAGAAGGCCUUCGGGUUGUAAAGUACUUUCAGUCGUGAGGAAGGUGUUAAGGUUAAUAACCUUAGCAAUUGACGUUAGCGACAGAAGAAGCACCGGCUAACUCCGUGCCAGCAGCCGCGGUAAUACGGAGGGUGCGAGCGUUAAUCGGAAUUACUGGGCGUAAAGGCACGCAGGCGGUUAAUUAAGUUGGAUGUGAAAUCCCCGGGCUUAACCUGGGAAUGGCAUUCAAGACUGGUUAGCUAGAGUCUUGUAGAGGGGGUAGAAUUCCAUGUGUAGCGGUGAAAUGCGUAGAGAUGUGGAGGAAUACCGGUGGCGAAGGCGGCCCCCGGACAAAGGCCUGACGCUCAUGUGCGAAAGCGUGGGGAGCAAAC